rnacentral:tRNA from 1 species
CCGGACGUAGCGCAGAGGCAGACGCGCCGACUUGCCAAGUCGUGAACACGUCGGUUCGAAUCCGACCGUCCGGG